UACGAAGGGGGCUAGCGUUGCUCGGAAUCACUGGGCGUAAAGGGUGCGUAGGCGGGUCUUUACGUCAGGGGUUAAAUCCUGGAGCUCAACUCCAGAACUGCCUUUGAUACUGAGGAUCUUGAGUUCGGGAGAGGUGAGUGGAACUGCGAGUGUAGAGGUGAAAUUCGUAGAUAUUCGCAAGAACACCAGUGGCGAAGGCGGCUCACUGGCCCGAUACUGACGCUGAGGCACGAAAGCGUGGGGAGCAAACAGG
rnacentral:rRNA from 1 species